GAAGGUCAUAGAUUCAGAUGCCUACAGUGAAAGAUUUGAGCCUCCUGACGUCAGCCCAGCGAGAGAAAUAAAGAGCAAUGGGUUAUAAUAGAAAGGGAAAGAGAAGAACGAGAGGUGAACUGAAAAUGGGGGAAAGAGUGAAAGUUUAAAGAUGAAAACCCUCGACUUGUAUGGAUUCAAAAGUCUGUAAUGAAAGACUUAUGUAUCCUGACGUCAGCCCAGAGAGAGAAAUAAAGAGCAUUGAAUUACAUCAUAGAGAAAGAAGAGAAGGGAACGAAAUAUGAAGUGGAAAAGAAUGAGGAAUGAAAAUAUAAACAUGAGAACCGUCGACUUGCACAGAUUCAAAUGCCUCCAGAGAAAGAUUUAAGCUCAGAGAGAGAAAUAAAGAGCAUUGAAUCAUAACAUUGAGAAGGAAGAGAGAGCAACAAAACAUGAACUGGAAAAGGAUGAGGAAUGAAAAUAUAAAGAUGAGAACCGUCGACUUGCACAGAUUCAAAUGCCCACAGCGAAAAAUUUAAUAAGCCUCCUGACUUCAGCCCAGCGAGAGAAAUUACGACAGUGCAUUAUGAUAUAGACGAAAGAGAGAGAGAGAAGAGAACGAGAGGUGAGGUGAAAAGUACGUAGACUAUAGUUUAAAGGUAUUGUGAUGCAUUACACGACUCUUAGCUGAUAUGUGUUGUGUGUGGUAGCUAACUGGCUGCCUGGAUGGAAGGAGGGUUCGAACUGGAGUGUUUAUUGUAUAUUGGAUGACGCAGAAACAGCACCAAAUAGAAAAAUAUAGAUAGUAAGUAAAGUAAAGUUGGGAGCGUACACUAGAGCUGCGCGUGGCCUCAGUGCCCAUCUCCGAAUAAAUAGAUAGAUAGAUAGAUAGAUAGUGAAAAAGUUUAAAUGAGUCAAGGAGGAAAAGAAGAAUUGUGAGAAAAAAUUAAGCUGGAAAGAUAAAUUAAAAAGUUAGAGAGGAGGAAGGGAUGAAAGAGAGAAGGUGAGAGAAAUAGAUAGACAGAUAAAAAUAGAAAGAUAGAUAAACACAUAAUAAAUCAAGAAGGAAAAGAGAAAGUGCGAGAAAAAUCAGGCUGGAAAGAAAGAUUAAAAAGUUAGAAAGGAGGAAGGGAUGAAAAAGUGAGAGCAAGUGGUCGAUACAUAGAUAGAUAAAUAAAAUAAAUAAAAAAGCAGAAGAUUGUGGGAAAAAAAUUAAGCUGGAAAGAAAAAUAAAAAGUUAGUUAGAGAGGAGGAAGGGAUGCAGAGAUGAGAUGGAUAGACAGAUAGAUAGAGAAACAGACACACACACACACACACACACACACACACACACACACACACACACACACACACACACACACACACACACACACAGAGAAAGAGAGCAAGCAAGCGAGCACAUCAGGGCCUAAUGACAGAAGAGAGAGAGAGAGAGAGGAGAGAGGAGAGCAGGAAUCCAGAGUAGCAUUUUUUGAGUGAACAAUGAUGCGCUUUUCCGGAUGAACUUGGACGCAUAAAAGAGAUGCAGUUUCGUACGAGGUUCUUUUUUUAGGGUCAGACUGAGAGCUUUGGGGAAGGACACGCGACUGAACCCCAAAGACAAAGCAAGGACAAGACGAAACAAGGACAAGACGAGACAAGGACAAGCGACUGAGCCCGAAAGACGAGAGGGAACGAAAAAAAAAGUGUCCGUUAAUGUGCCAGUGAUAACGAAAAAGAGAAAGAGAAAGAGCGAGAGCGAGAGCGAGAGAGAGAGAGAGAGAGAGAGAGAGAGAGAGAGAGAGAGAGAGAGAGAGAGAGAGAGAGAGAGAGAGAGAGAGAGAGAGAGAGAGAGAGAGAGAGAGAGAGAGAGA